AGUGGCGAACGGGUGAGUAACACGUGGGCAACCUGCCCUCAGCUCUGGGAUAACUCCAAGAAAUUGGGGCUAAUACCGGAUAUGACUGCUGACCGCAUGGUCUGGUGGUGGAAAGAUUUAUCGGCUGGGGAUGGGCCCGCGGCCUAUCAGCUUGUUGGUGGGGUAGUGGCCUACCAAGGCGACGACGGGUAGCCGGCCUGAGAGGGUGACCGGCCACACUGGGACUGAGACACGGCCCAGACUUCUACGGGAGGCAGCAGUGGGGAAUAUUGCGCAAUGGGCGAAAGCCUGACGCAGCGACGCCGCGUGGGGGAUGACGGCCUUCGGGUUGUAAACCUCUUUCAGCAGGGACGAAGCGAAAGUGACGGUACCUGCAGAAGAAGCACCGGCCAACUACGUGCCAGCAGCCGCGGUAAUACGUAGGGUGCAAGCGUUGUCCGGAAUUAUUGGGCGUAAAGAGCUCGUAGGCGGUUUGUUGCGUCGGCUGUGAAAACCUGAGGCUCAACCUCAGGCCUGCAGUCGAUACGAGCAGACUAGAGUGUUGCAGGGGAGACUGGAAUUCCUGGUGUAGCGGUGAAAUGCGCAGAUAUCAGGAGGAACACCGGUGGCGAAGGCGGGUCUCUGGGCAACAACUGACGCUG
rnacentral:rRNA from 1 species